rnacentral:rRNA from 1 species
GGCUCAGGAUGAACGCUAGCUACAGGCUUAACACAUGCAAGUCGAGGGGCAGCAUUUUAGUUUGCUUGCAAACUGAAGAUGGCGACCGGCGCACGGGUGAGUAACACGUAUCCAACCUGCCGAUAACUCCGGAAUAGCCUUUCGAAAGAAAGAUUGAUACCGGAUAGCAUACGAAUAUCGCAUGAUAUUUUUAUUAAAGAAUUUCGGUUAUCGAUGGGGAUGCGUUCCAUUAGUUUGUUGGCGGGGUAACGGCCCACCAAGACAACGAUGGAUAGGGGUUCUGAGAGGAAGGUCCCCCACAUUGGAACUGAGACACGGUCCAAACUCCUACGGGAGGCAGCAGUGAGGAAUAUUGGUCAAUGGGCGAGAGCCUGAACCAGCCAAGUAGCGUGAAGGAUGAAGGCUCUAUGGGUCGUAAACUUCUUUUAUAUGGGAAUAAAGUUUUCCACGUGUGGAAUUUUGUAUGUACCAUAUGAAUAAGGAUCGGCUAACUCCGUGCCAGCAGCCGCGGUAAUACGGAGGAUCCGAGCGUUAUCCGGAUUUAUUGGGUUUAAAGGGAGCGUAGGUGGAUUGUUAAGUCAGUUGUGAAAGUUUGCGGCUCAACCGUAAAAUUGCAGUUGAAACUGGCAGUCUUGAGUACAGUAGAGGUGGGCGGAAUUCGUGGUGUAGCGGUGAAAUGCUUAGAUAUCACGAAGAACUCCGAUUGCGAAGGCAGCUCACUAGACUGUCACUGACACUGAUGCUCGAAAGUGUGGGUAUCAAACAGGAUUAGAUACCCUGGUAGUCCACACAGUAAACGAUGAAUACUCGCUGUUUGCGAUAUACAGUAAGCGGCCAAGCGAAAGCAUUAAGUAUUCCACCUGGGGAGUACGCCGGCAACGGUGAAACUCAAAGGAAUUGACGGGGGCCCGCACAAGCGGAGGAACAUGUGGUUUAAUUCGAUGAUACGCGAGGAACCUUACCCGGGCUUAAAUUGCAACAGAAUAUAUUGGAAACAGUAUAGCCGUAAGGCUGUUGUGAAGGUGCUGCAUGGUUGUCGUCAGCUCGUGCCGUGAGGUGUCGGCUUAAGUGCCAUAACGAGCGCAACCCUUAUCUUUAGUUACUAACAGGUGAUGCUGAGGACUCUAGAGAGACUGCCGUCGUAAGAUGUGAGGAAGGUGGGGAUGACGUCAAAUCAGCACGGCCCUUACGUCCGGGGCUACACACGUGUUACAAUGGGGGGUACAGAAGGCGGCUACCUGGUGACAGGAUGCUAAUCCCAAAAACCUCUCUCAGUUCGGAUCGAAGUCUGCAACCCGACUUCGUGAAGCUGGAUUCGCUAGUAAUCGCGCAUCAGCCAUGGCGCGGUGAAUACGUUCCCGGGCCUUGUACACACCGCCCGUCAAGCCAUGAAAGCCGGGGGUACCUGAAGUACGUAACCGCAAGGAGCGUCCUAGGGUAAAACUGGUAAU